UGGGGAAUCUUGCACAAUGGGGGAAACCCUGAUGCAGCGACGCCGCGUGAACGAUGAAGCCCUUCGGGGUGUAAAGUUCUUUCGACAGGAACGAUAAUGACGGUACCUGGAGAAGAAGCUGCGGCUAACUACGUGCCAGCAGCCGCGGUAAUACGUAGGCAGCGAGCGUCGUUCGGAGUUACUGGGCGUAAAGAGUGCGUAGGCGGCGAGCCAAGUUUGGUGUGAAAUCUCCCGGCUUAACCGGGAGGGUGCGCCGAAAACUGGUUGGCUGGAGUAUGGGAGAGGAAAGCGGAAUUCCUGGUGUAGCGGUGAAAUGCGUAGAUAUCAGGAGGAACACCUGCGGUGUAGACAGCUUUCUGGACCAAAACUGACGCUGAGGCACGAAAGCGUGGGUAGCAUACA
rnacentral:rRNA from 1 species